UACGUAGGGUGCGAGCGUUAAUCGGAAUUACUGGGCGUAAAGCGUGCGCAGGCGGUUUUGUAAGUCUGUCGUGAAAGCCCCGGGCUCAACCUGGGAAUUGCGAUGGAGACGGCAAGGCUUGAAUCUGGCAGAGGGGGGUAGAAUUCCACGUGUAGCAGUGAAAUGCGUAGAGAUGUGGAGGAACACCGAUGGCGAAGGCAGCCCCCUGGCUCAAGAUUGACGCUCAUGCACGAAAGCGUGGGGAGCAAACAGG
rnacentral:rRNA from 1 species